rnacentral:misc_RNA from 1 species
UAACAAGGUUUCCGUAGGUGAACCUGCGGAAGGAUCAUUAGAGAACCUGGGCCUGCGCUACUUGCGCGGCUCCAACCAAUACACAGUGUGUUAUACUUCUCUUGCUUUGGCUCUGCCAAAGGUUUUAAACACAGAAAUUUAUUUUCUCUAGAAACUAGUCAAUUUGAAUUUUAAUCUUCAAAACUUUCAACAACGGAUCUCUUGGUUCUCGCAACGAUGAAGAACGCAGCGAA